UAUGCCUCAAAGACAGGUCCAUUCAUUGUGUAUGUUUUCUUUUUACAGAAGUAUAAUUAAGAUAUAAUGGUCACAUUGACUUCCACAUGACAACUACUUUUUGUUAGUGCUACUGAUUAACAAAAAAGCACUAAAAGUUAUCAUGAAGAUAAUUCUCAUGAUCACUUUUGUCAUAAACUGUUUGCCGAGCACAACAUUUUAUCAGGUAUAUUUAUUCCUUUAACAAAUUACUGUGAUCACCCUGUUUUUGACCAAAUCUCCCUGUUUUCCUUUAGGAAAAAUCCAAAAUCUCCAGGUUUGAAAAUUUAAGGUUGACAGGUCUGUGUUAGAAAUCGCAUUUUUGCUGACGCCAUUUUCUAGAAUCCCGCCAAAACAGCAAGAUUUGUUCAAUCAAUGUUAGAAUGCUAGCUUUGGAGCCGCCAUUUUGUUAUUAAUCGUCCUAAUACUUUUGUCGCUUAAGUGUACAUAAGGCAUAUUAUUACGGUGGUGACAACAUAUUUAACUCGACUCGGUCAUGUCUGUUUUCUUUUGUUUCUUAUACACUUUAUCAAUGAUGUUAUCAUUAAAACACCAAUAAAUGCAAGUCAAUAAUUACAUUCAUAUCCUGCUUUUGAAUCGUCACAUAAUUGACCAGAACACUGACUUUCUUCUUCUUUCGAUUCGUCAAUAACAUGAUGCAUUUCAUCCGCCAUUUUCAGUCUCGACUGGAAGUAGACUUAUUCAAUUCAAUAACGAUGGAAACGAAAAGCUGUUAUCACAUGACUAGGAAUGCAGUGGCUAUUUUACUUUUCUGGUGGGUGGAUUACAAUUACCAAAUAAAAAUUUUCUUGGAAUUCUGGAGCGAAAUUACAACCCUAUUUAGAAAGGAUUGUGUAUUGAAUUUUGGAUUAUUAUGCCUUUCCAGGAGUUUUGAUAUUAUGUUUGCCACAACGCGGAACAAGGUGAGUCUGCUGAACCGACAAAUGACCAGAGAAUAUUUGUUGCUACGGGGAAAUCCAGGAAAUUGCACUGUAUGUUGAUUUUAGACAAGAGUGAAACAUAAUUUUUGUCUUGAAUCUGAGUUGAUUCUGAUCUAAGAUGCAUCCAGGGCUGCUGCGCUUGUUUUUGGGUCUGUCCAUGAUUUUGGCAGAUGGAUUGUUCAACGUUGUUCUAAUAACUAUCGGAAAAGAAAGUCCAAAUCAUAGAUACUUGUGCAAAGAAACUGCAAAUCAUACAGUUAACUCAUCAAAUCACUUAAAUUAUGAAAUAUGCUGGAACUGGAAAUUUGAUUCAAGGGGCUCAUGCAUGUUUAACUUGCUGUUUGCCUCGACCAUUUGCCUCCACCUGACAAUAUUGAUCUUUUUCACAAGCUCAUUUUUAAAAUGUCUGUUUCCCGAGCUGGCCCUGGUUGCCCAAAGAAGCUUGUUCUUUCGAUGUAUUGGGCGUUAUUUCUCAGUUGCACUAAAUUUUGCUGCCUUUGUUGUUGCUGCAGCAUUGCUUGUAUAUGUAGGGGUACAUGACAGUUCUAAUUCCCAGUGCAAAGAUACUGGUCAUCUGUGGAGAAACUGUAAGGACAAGUCCAAUGCUUGUUGGGUUUUUGCAAUUUUGUGUCUUGGAUGCUUUUUUUCUUAUGCUGGCGUUUUGCUCAGUGCACAUGAUGCAAGAAUGAUGUAUCUUGGAAGAAGAGAUUUUGAAGAAGAGGAGCAAAUCUACCAAAGAUAUGUUGAUUAUGAUGCUGUCAAAGAUUUGGACAGUUACUAAUUCCACAUAGCGGACUUGAUUCAUUUAAUUUUUGAAAACCUUUUUGACAAGGUAGAUACUAACAUGCAGUUCAGAGAAUCAUUGAGCCUUCACUGGUUGAUGUCUUAUUCUAAACAUUUUAUUAAUUAACCUUUAAUAUUUCAAUGAUUUUUUCUAAUCAGUUUCAGCCAAUUAUUUUAAUUUUGCUUUAAAUCCAUUGCUAGAAUUGUGAGAUUUGUAUUUAGUAAUGGUAUAUUAUUUUUCUCAGUAAUAACCUUUUUUAGCUUAUUUUUCUGACAUUUUUUUUAACAAUGGUUGCCCAACUCAACCAACUCCCUUUUCACCUCCAUUCAUAUUGUCAAGUCCAGACAAUACAUUACUAUACAACACUUCUUUUAAUUUUGACUAACUUUUACCCAGCUAUAACUAUAAGCAGGGGCAUAGAGAUGUGUUAAAAAGUGAUGUCCCAACAAAAAACAAAGUACCACAGGGUGGCCUUAUCCUAUUAGACAAAAUAUUCAUUGCAAAAUAGCAAAGGUUUUCCUAUGCUGACUAGUCUUGUUCAUUUUAGAAUUUUUAUACAUUUUGAAAUGAUCAUUACCUCAAAAAAUCAAAACAUUUGCUGGUUUCAACAAAAGAUCUGAACAUUGCAAUAUAAUGUGAGUUACUGUUUCUUUAUAUUUCCAUUAGCAAAAUAUGUCAGUAUAGGAACAUUAUUAAUUGUUAACCAUGUGGAAGGAAGAAUGAAAGAGUUUAAACUAUUUCACAUUUGUUGUGAAUAACGUUCCACACAGAUAAAAUGUUGUAAAUUAAACUGUUAUUUUUUGAAAAUUUGAAAUAGCCUUUUAGUUUAUCUUCUUUAUACAAGAUGUUAUUAGGCUUGGCCAGGUAAAUAUUGUUAUCUUGCUGAAACUGCAGACACCCUUACCUAAACAGUAAGCCAAUACUUCUGAAGCUGAAAAGGUGGAAAAUGGAAAGUGGAAAAUAAGCAUGGAUAGUCCUCCACUUGUGUCAAGAUUGUGUUCUAUAUUCUGGCAGGAUAUUGCUACUUAUUUAAAGUGAAACAUUUGUGUGGAUUGAGUUGAAAUUAUUGCCCCCUUGCUAUGAAAAAUGAGAAAUUUCCACCACUUAGUAAGCUAAUUGGCUACUUUGUGAGCAGUCUGUAAGUUACCCAGUCCAAUUGCAGAGGAAUAUGUUGGGAACACUAACUUAUUUUUAAAGCAUGGCAGCAAAACUUUUUCCUUUAAUAAUGCAGAUUGGCAUUAUCUAAAAAACUUGAUGGGCUACUCACAUUACCCUAGGCCUAUAAUUUUCUACAGACUGGAGCCUCCACUGAGGGUGUUUCAGUUGAGAGGGGUAUUGAAACGUGAUAUCUUUUAUCACUGUCGGCAUCUUAACAACAAUGAAAACUGUAGAACUCUACAUUUCUGCUGUAAGUAUCCCUCUUUUAUUCAUGUACAGCUUAGAGAAUUAACAAAAAAAAGAUGGUAGAAUAUAAAGAGAGGCUGGCUGCAUUUAGAACCUAAUGACUUUGGCUCCUUAUCAAAUGUUUGGGGAGUUAAACAACAAAUAAAGACAGAAUUUCAUUUUUUCAUUCAAUAUUAGCAAAAAGUAACGUCUUACAGGGUUAUUUACAAUGGCAAAAAAUGUGAAAUUCAAGUAGAUAUGUAUGCGUUAAAAUGGUUAAAAUAUUUGUUAUUUAUAAAUAUAAAUUUGCUAAUCAAAAUUUAUUUCGCCAA